rnacentral:misc_RNA from 1 species
UCCAGUUUAUCACCGGCAGUCUCUGUAGAGUGCUUCGGCCUUGCGACCGAGUGGCAACAACAGACGUGGGUUGCGCUCGUUGCGGGACUUAACCCAACACUUCACAGCACGAGCUGACGACAGCCAUGCACCACCUGUGCUAGCUCUCGACUUGACGAGUCCAUCCGCUUUCACUUCAGUACUUCUAGCAUGUCAAACCUAGGUGAGGUUCUACGCGUAGCGUCGAAUUGAACCACAUGUUCCACCGCUUGUGCGGGCCCCCGUCAAUUCCUUUGAGUUUCAUCCUUGCGGACGUACUCCCCAGGUGGAGGACUUAAUGGGUUACCUGCGGCACCGACUCUAAUUGAGCCAACACCUAGUCCUCAACGUUUACAGCGUGGACUAC